rnacentral:rRNA from 1 species
UGGGGAAUAUUGGACAAUGGGCGCAAGCCUGAUCCAGCCAUGCCGCGUGAGUGAUGAAGGCCUUAGGGUUGUAAAGCUCUUUCGCGCGCGGCGAUAAUGACGGUAGCGCGAGAAGAAGCCCCGGCUAACUUCGUGCCAGCAGCCGCGGUAAUACGAAGGGGGCUAGCGUUGUUCGGAAUCACUGGGCGUAAAGCGCAUGCAGGCGGAUCGUUUAGUCGGGGGUGAAAUCCCGAGGCUCAACCUCGGAACUGCCUCCGAUACUGGCGAUCUUGAGUCCGGGAGAGGUUAGUGGAACUGCGAGUGUAGAGGUGAAAUUCGUAGAUAUUCGUAAGAACACCAGUGGCGAAGGCGGCUCACUGGCCCGGUACUGACGCUCAGGUGCGAAAGCGUGGGGAGCAAACA